ACAAGUUUGGUGGAUUUUUACCCUUUUGUUAGAUAAGGAUUUUUGUCAUUAAUAAUAAAGAUGAGGGCCAUGGAAAGAAUUGAAGAACUUCAUGACUACUCUUAUACCAAGAUGUGAUGGAAAAAGUAAGCAUUCUCAAAAUCCAAAGUUAACUUAAAAGAGUGGUCCCCUAGUACCUUGCAUGAGAAAAAUCAAAUAUCAGUAUACUCCCACUGCACCCCCAAUACCUCAAUAAGAAAAAGCAUAAAAAAAAUCAUUGUGUGUGUGUGUAAGCUCUGCUCUGCCGAUGGUAAUAGUGUCAACCUCUAAAAAAAAUUGUACUAACAGCUCUGCUCACCUACCAAUAGCACAAAUACAGGGGAUAGAGUGAAUUAUGGGAUACAGGGGAUAGAGUGAAAAUAUUAAAAUUUCAAGAAAAAGUUAUACAAGAAAAGUAGCACAGAUAUACUAAUCUGAGAUGAACAUUAACAUUAAGCUAUCCAUAAGGAGUUUCAUGUGCCAAGUGAAAAAUUAUCACAUAAGCUAUUCAGGGAACCUAAUUAGACACCGAGAGUAAUCUAAUAAGGGUAGGGGGN
rnacentral:lncRNA from 1 species